UUUGACAUUUUCGUUCACUUCACAUAUUUUGGCAUUUUCAUCAAAAUUUCCGUAAUUAAAUAAGUACCUUACAAAAUUUAAAUAUAAAACAAGAACCAGAAGGAUAUAGGUUAAGAUAGCAAAUAUGAAUACAAAAUAGCACCCACAAAAUACGUAUAUUUCUUAAUGGAUUUAAGAGAUUUUUGAAUGAUCAAGAUGAGUUUUGGCGAUCUUUGCGAAAACUCUAACGAUCACGUGUAAUGCAUAAUUACUUCGACUCUAAUGAAAUUAAACAAGUUAUGGACUUCAUGUAUUCUUGAAUGAAAUGAAAAAAUCAAUUAAAAAAAUUAGAUAAAAUAGACCUUAGAUCAAAACAUGAAGAAGACAAUAACUUGCGUUAUAAACACUCUGGACGUGAAAUAAACCUAACUAUGUCUAAAAACCAGUUUGAGAUGUCAUCAUGUAAGAUUGCACUUAAGAUCUGAUUUAACUAUGUAUCUUUGAUAUCCAAUCCUCUAUUCUAUUGUGAAGGACCAUUGGAACCGAACAAUUCUGACAUGAAAAUUAAUUGAUUUUUUUUGAUUAUUGAACAUAAGAGAUGAGAAGAGUCGCAUCUCACCAUGAUGAACACCAAAUUGAACCCUUUUUCGUCAUAAUUUUAAUAAAAAAUUAA